CCUCCAUAAAGUACGCUAAGAAAUAAACAACAUCGACCGUGACCCCAGGAUUGCCAGCCUCAGGAAAGAAAAAGGAAGGAGACGAGCACACACGCCAGAGGCCAACUCCUCACACCCAGCAGCUUAGAAGUAAACAGUGAGAAUAGAAAAAUUCACAGAAAUAAAAGCCGAGACUCUGACCUACGCCACGUGUCUCUAAGAGCGAGAGGAAUGCCGCCAGCAUGCCACAUGGGAUCCAGAGCUGGGAAACCACCAUGGAAAGGAUUGAAUGUAGGAGAAAAAGCCCCUACAGAAAAGUGGAGGGGAGCCUGGAUGUAGGAUGGGGGCUUGUCCAGUUCUUCAUGAGAAGGGGGUUGGGGCACUUGACCGACCCCGGCAGGGACAAAUCGCACUAGUCAGAGGGAGGAAGGAGCAAGACGGGGUGGUUACCAGUGAUCAGCAACCGUCAGCAAGGGAAAGACUUUUCUGCCUAUCGGAAGCCGUUUGAUGACACCCAUCCGUACUCUGGUUCGUGCAGCAGUUUCGAGAUCACUCCGACUCGACCCAACCCGAGCUGCGGCAUGGCUUGGAAAGCAAGCAGCUUUGCAAAUGAAGAAUCAGCCACUCGGCCAGAAGUGGCUUUAGCUUGGAAGAGACUUCACCAAGCCAAGGACGUGGUAAGUGAGGUUUGCAACAAGCUCUCAAAUA